rnacentral:misc_RNA from 1 species
AACGCACCUUGCGCUCUUUGGUAUUCCGAAGAGCAUGCCUGUUUGAGUGUCAUUAAAUUCUCAAACCAACAACUUUAUUGUUUGUUGGCUUUGGACUUUGAGGGUUGUUGAUGAAAAUCGACUCCCUUUAAAUAUAUUAGCUGGCAUUGACUGCCAGACUAUGGUGUGAUAAUUAUCUACGCUAUUGGUCUGACAUGUUGGCUGCUUCUAAUCGUCUUCGGACAACUUAUGACAAUUUGACCUCAAAUCAGGUAGGACUACCCGCUGAACUUAA